AAGACACUAGUAUAAUAGCCACUACACCACCUUGUCAAGGUGGAAUUGUAGGUUAAACUCCUGCGUGCCUUA
rnacentral:tRNA from 1 species